rnacentral:rRNA from 1 species
GAUGAACGUUGGCGGCGUGCCUAAUACAUGCAAGUCGAACGAAGACUGUAGUAAUACUGUCUUAGUGGCGAACGGGUGAGUAACGCGUGGGUGACCUGCCCCGAAGUGUGGGAUAACAGUUCGAAAGGAUUGCUAAUACUGCAUAAUAUCCAAGAGAUUAGACGCUUUUGGAUUAAAGGAGUAAUUCGCUUCGGGAGGGGCCCGCGUCCCAUCAGCUAGUUGGUAAGGUAAUGGCUUACCAAGGCGAUGACGGGUAGGGGACCUGAGAGGGUGGCCCCCCAAAUGGAACUGAAACACGGUCCAUACACCUACGGGUGCAGCAGUAGGGAAUAUUAGAAAUGGGCGGAAGCCUGAUCUAGCAACACCGCGUGUGCGAUGAAGGCCUUCGGGUCGUAAAGCUACUUUUUGGAGGGAAUAGGAAGGAAGGUACCUCCAGAAUAAGUCUCGGCUAACUACGUGCCAGCAGCCGCGGUAAGCACGAGAGUA